UCGGCUUCUCGGCCUUUGGCUAAGAAUCAAGUGUAGUAUCUGUUCUAUCAGUUUAAUAUCUGAUACGCCCCUACCGGGGUACUACAUAUUUAAAUUGAUUUUUAUUGUGAUGAAUAACAGAAGAAAAAAAAAAAAAAAAAAAAAAAGGGACACGAGAUGGGGGGGAUUUGUCUGGCUCCCAUGAGGUCUCUGCUCUU